AUGCAGACCUCCAGUGUAUUUUGGAUUGCAGUGCCUAGCAUGACAGUUAACCGACUGUCCUCAAUUGUUGUCACCACCACAAGUGCUCCUACUACAACAACUACUGCUCCUACUAAAACAACUACUGCUCAUACUACAACAACUACAGCUCCUACUACAACAACUACAGCUCCUACUACAACAACUACAGCUCCUACUACAACAACUACUGCUCCUACUAAAACAACUACUGCUCAUACUACAACAACUACAGCUCCUACUACAACAACUACAGCUCCUAAUAAAACAACUACAGCUCCUAAUAACACAACUACAGCUCCUAAUAACACAACUACAGCUCCUAGAACAACAACUACAGCUCCUACUACAACAACUACAGCUCCUACUACAACAACUAUUGCUCCUAAUACAACAACAACCACAGCUCCUAAAACAACAACUACAGCUCCUAAUACAAAAACUUCUGCGACAACAGGUACUGCUACUAAUACAACAAAUAUUGCUCCUACUAAAACAACUACAGCUCCUAAUACAACAACUACAACUCCUAAUACAAUAACUACAGCUCCUACUACAACGACUACUGCUCCUAAAACAACAAUUACAGCUCCUAAAACAACAACAACAGCUCCUACUACAACAACUACUGCUCCUACUAAAACAACUACUGCUUCUACUAAAACAACUACAGGUCCUAAUACAACAACAACUACUGCUCCCAAUACAACAAUUACAGCUCCUAAUACUACAACAACUAAAGCUCCUACUAAAACACCUACAGCUCCAACUACAACAACAACUACUGCUCCUAAUACAACAACUACCGCUCCUACGACAACAACUACUGCUCCGACAAAAACAACUACUGCUCCUAAUACAACAACUACAGCACCUACGACAACAACUACUGCUCCGACAAAAACAACUACUGCUCCUACUACAAUCAAUACAGCUCCUACUACAACAACAACUACAGCUCCUAAUACAACUACAACUCCUACUACAACAACUACAGCUCCUACUACAACAACUACUGCUCCUACUAAAACAACUACUGCUCCUACUACAACAACUACAACUCCUGCUACAACAACUACAGCUCCUAAUAAAACAACUACAGCUCCUAAUAAAACAACUACAGCUCCUAAUAAAACAACUACAGCUCCUAAUACAACAACAACUACAGCUCCCAAAACAACAACUACAGCUCCUAAUACAACAACAACUACAGCACCUACUACAACAACUACUGCUCCAACUACAACAACUACAGCUCCUACUACAACAACUACAGCUCAUAAUAAAACAACUACAGCUCCUAAUAAAACAACCACAGCUCCUAAUAAAACAACUACAGCUCCUAAUAAAACAACUACAGCUCCUAAUACAACAACAACUACAGCUCCUACUACAACAACUACAGCUCCUAGAACAACAACUACAGCUCCUACUACAACAACUACAGCUCCUACUACAACAACAACUACAGCUCCUAAUACAACUACAGCUCCUAGAACAACAACUACAGCUCCUACUACAACAACAACUACUGCUCCUACUACAACAACUACUGCUCCUACUAAAACAACUACUGCUCCUACUACAACAACUACAACUCCUGCUACAACAACUACAGCUCCUAAUAAAACAACUACAGCUCCUAAUAAAACAACUACAGCUCCUAAUAAAACAACUACAGCUCCUAAUACAACAACAACUACAGCUCCCAAAACAACAACUACAGCUCCUAAUACAACAACAACUACAGCUCCUACUACAACAACUACAGCUCCUAGAACAACAACUACAGCUCCUACUACAACAACUACAGCUCCUACUACAACAACUACAGCUCCUACUACAACAACUACAGCUCCUAAUAAAACAACUACAGCUCCUAAUAAAACAACUACAACUCCUAAUACAAUAACUACAGCUCCUACUACAACAACUACUGCUCCUAAAACAACAAUUACAGCUCCUAAUACAACAACUACUGCUCCUACUAAAACAACUACUGCUUCUACUAAAACAACUACAGGUCCUAAUACAACAACAACUACUGCUCCUAAUACAACAAUUACAGCUCCUAAUACUACAACAACUAAAGCUCCUACUAAAACACCUACAGCUCCAACUACAACAACAACUACUGCUCCUAAUACAACAACUACAGCUCCUACGACAACAACUACUGCUCCGACAAAAACAACUACUGCUCCUAAUACAACAACUACAGCACCUACGACAACAACUACUGCUCCGACAAAAACAACUACUGCUCCUACUACAAUCAAUACAGCUCCUACUACAACAACAACUACAGCUCCUAAUACAACUACAGCUCCUAGAACAACAACUACAACUCCUACUACAACAACUACAGCUCAUACGACAACAACUACUGCUCCGACUAAAACAACCACUGCUCCUACUAUAACAACUAGAGCUCCUACUACAACAACUACUGCUCCUAGUAAAACAACUACUGCUCCUACUACAACAACUACAACUCCUGCUACAACAACUACAGCUGCUACAACAACUACAGCUCCUAAUAAAACAACUACAGCUCCUAAUAAAACAACUACAGCUCCUAAUAAAACAACUACAGCUCCUAAUACAACAACAACUACAGCUCCCAAAACAACAUCUACAGCUCCUAAUACAACAACAACUACAUCACCUACUACAACAACUACUGCUCCAACUACAACAACUACAGCUCCUACUACAACAACUACAGCUCAUAAUAAAACAACUACAGCUCCUAAUAAAACAACCACAGCUCCUAAUAAAACAACUACAGCUCCUAAUAAAACAACUACAGCUCCUAAUACAACAACAACUACAGCACCUACUACAACAACUACUGCUCCAACUACAACAACUACAGCUCCUACUACAACAACUACAGCUCAUAAUAAAACAACUACAGCUCCUAAUAAAACAACCACAGCUCCUAAUAAAACAACUACAGCUCCUAAUAAAACAACUACAGCUCCUAAUACAACAACAACUACAGCUCCCAAAACAACAACUACAGCUCCUAAUACAACAACAACUACAGCACCUACUACAACAACUACUGCUCCUACUAAAACAACUACUGCUCCGACUACAACAACUAAAGCUCCUACUAAAACACCUACAGCUCCUACUACAACAACAACUACUGCUCCUACUACAACAACUACUGCUCCUACUACAACAACUACAGCUCCUAAUACAACAACUACAGUUCCUAAUACAAACACUUCUGUGACAACAGGUACUGCUACUAAUACAACAACUACUGCUCCUACUAAAACAACUACUGCUUCUACUAAAACAACUACAGCUCCCAAAACAACAACUACAGCUCCUAAUACAACAACAACUACAGCACCUACUACAACAACUACUGCUCCUACUAAAACAACUACUGCUCCGACUACAACAACUAAAGCUCCUACUAAAACACCUACAGCUCCUACUACAACGACAACUACUGCUCCUAAUACAACAAUUACAGCUCCCAAUACAACAACUACAGCUCCUAAUACAACAACAACAGCUCCUACUACAACAACUACUGCUCCUACUAAAACAACAACUGCUCCGACUACAACAACUAAAGCUCCUACUAAAACACCUACAGCUCCUACUAAAACAACAACUAAAGCUCCUAAUACAACUACAGCUCCUAGAACAACAACUACAACUCCUACUACCACAACUACAGCUCAUACGACAACAACUACUGCUCCGACUAAAACAACCACUGCUCCUACUAUAACAACUACAGCUCCUACUACAACAACUACUGCUCCUACUAAAACAACUACUGCUCCUACUACAACAACUACAACUCCUGCUACAACAACUACAGCUCCUAGAACAACAACUACAGCUCCUAAUACAACAACUACUGCUCCGAAUACAACAACAACUACAGCUCCUAAAACAACUACUACAGCUCCCAAAAUAACAACAACUACAGCUCCUAAUACAACAACUACAGUUCCUAAAACAAAAACUUCUGCUACAACAGGUACUGCUACUAAUACAACAAAUACAGCUCCUACUAAAACAACACCAGAUCCUAAUUCAACAACAAUAGCUCCUACUACAACAACUACUGCUCCUACUAAAACAACUACUGCUCCGACUACAACAUCUAAAGCUCCUACUAAAACACCUACAGCUCCUACUACAACAACAACUACUGCUCCUAAUACAACAACUACAACUCCUACUACAACAACUACAGCUCCUACUACAACAACUACAGCUCCUCGACCAACAACUACAGCUCCUACUACAACAACUACAGCUCCUACAACUACAGCUCCUACUACAACAACUACUGCUCCUACUACAACAACUACAGCUCCUACUACAACAACUACAGCUCCUAAUAAAACAACUACAGCUCCUAAUAAAACAACCACAGCUCCUAAUAAAACAACCACAGAUCCUAAAACAACAACUACACCUCCUAAUACAACAACUUCAGUUCUAAAAACAAAAACUUCUGCUACAACAAUUACUGCUACUACUACAACAACUACUGCUCCUACAUAA
ensembl:lncRNA